AAAGAAAGAAAGAAAUAAACUACCCACAUUUUAACUGGGCACAUUCCUGUCAAUCUGAUGAGAAUCUAUUUCAUACCCUGCUUUAGCUGGUAGUCUGUCAAGGAAAUGAGCUGAACAUGUCUGUGUACAGCUUUUGUGCCAUCCCUGGAUGAGCGAGCUGUCUGCCUCUAUGUUCUCCACAAAAUGGAAUAUAGCUGUACACCCAAGCCAAGGUCAGUCACAGCGGCAAGGACCCUAUCUUUAUUUUUUAUAUGAAUUUUUAAAAGAUUUAUUCAUUUAUUUUAUGUAUGUGAGUACAUUGUAGUUAUCUUCAGAUAAACCAGAAGAGGGUACCAGAUCUCAUUAAAGAUGGUUGUGAGCCACCAUGUGAUUGCUGGGAAUUGAACUCAAGACCUCUGGAAGAGCAGUCAAUGCUCUUAUCUGCUGAGCCAUCUCUCUAGCCCCAGAACACUAUCUUUACACAUGGCAAGGCAAUGUGAUAGAAGAAUUGUGCAUACUGAGACAUAGCAAAGGCCUGUUUAGCAUAGCAUUCACCUUGGAACACCCAUUCCUUCUUUUAUGGAGGCUGGGAAGACCUAGAAUGUGGCAUCACUAUUUGGUAAGAACCUUCCUAUGUCAUUGUAGAGUGAGGGACUUGGGUACCACAUGGCAAGGCAUAGUACCCAAAUCCCUUUCCUUCAUAAAAGUAUUAAUGUCAUCAAAGAGGCCCCACCACCAUGAUGCCAUCUGGGGCCUCAUGACCCCAAUGCCUGAUGCCAAAGACUCCCACCUCAAAAUACUUUUUUCUUCAGCAUAACAUUUUAUUAAUUAUCUGGGAAUUUCACAUCAUGUACUCCAAUCACACUCAGUUCCCAGUCCUUCCAUGUCAGCCCCCACCCUUGUUACUUGCCCCCCAAAAGAGGAAAAUUAAAACUAAGAAUUAAAAAAAAUUAAAAAAAUUAAAAUACACAAGUCCAAUUUAUGUUACCUAUAUACUCACUGAAGCAUGGUCAGAUUCUCAGUGGCCUGGCCCUUAAAUAGAAGUGAGUCUUCCCCCUCCUGCAUCUGAAGCCAUUAAUUGCGUAGAGCUACACUUCAACAUCUACAUCACACUUUCAAAGAGUUCUCUUCAGUGGAUUCCUGUUCUAGACCAUUACUUUGGAGACAGGGGUAGGGGAUUGUCACAAAAAGCCUUCCAUGUCCCUUCGUCUCAGUUGUACACCUGCAGUCAUCAAUAUCCCAGUGUAACUAGUCCCCUUGUUCUUCAUAGUUAGUGGAAACAUGGAUCAUGGGCCUCUCAAGGUUUCUGAUAACAUCCCAGACCAUGAACAUGGCCCUCAGGUGCAGGAGGACCACAGAUCCAGACAAAGACCAGAUCACAGCCAUAAAAAUAGCCUCAGGUGGCAGCAAAGGCCACUCAGAUUAGUAUGGCCUUUGGUGGCAGCACUAUCCAUAAACAUCAACGUAGCUUCAGGCAGCAGCACAGACUGUGAACAUCUCAUGGUCUUCAGUGGUAACACAAGCCAUGGAUAUCUACCUACAGCAGAA
rnacentral:lncRNA from 1 species